rnacentral:rRNA from 1 species
GUGCCACAGGCGACGACGGGUAGCCGGCCUGAGAGGGUGACCGGCCACACUGGGACUGAGACACGGCCCAGACUCCUACGGGAGGCAGCAGUGGGGAAUAUUGCACAAUGGGCGAAAGCCUGAUGCAGCGACGCCGCGUGAGGGAUGACGGCCUUCGGGUUGUAAACCUCUUUCAGCAGGGAAGAAGCCAAAGUGACGGUACCUGCAGAAGAAGCCCCGGCUAACUACGUGCCAGCCGCCGCGG